rnacentral:lncRNA from 1 species
AAGAAGUAGAAGUUUAUGGUACUUCUUGCAUUGGAUGCUUGGAACAACAAUAUGUUUGGUUGGAAUUAUAAAUGUCUACACAGGAUUACUUGCAUACCAUAAGAGAACAUCAAAGGGUACAAGCCUUUGGAGCAUAAUUUUCACAGCUCAAGUUUCUUUUAUGGCAAUUUUUUACCUUUUUCAAGAUAAAUGGGACUACUUGAAAAGGCAAGGGAUGAUACCAAUGGAUGCAACCUCACAACCUCUGAAUCAGACUCAAAUGGAUAAUUUAAAUGAGGCAUGUAGAAAAAACAAUGCACUUGGAACUCACUUUUCAAGGAGAAAUGCAC